CUAAUAGUAUUCAUUCCGAGCUGAGAGCGUAAAGAACAUAAAUUUAUAUUUUCUAAAAAGAAGAAAACCAAAUUAAACAAUUUUCAACUUUUGCGUGCUAAAAUAAAUAAUUAAUCAUGGAUUCAUGGAUGAACCCAUAUAAUAUAUUAAUGUAUUUGGUGUGCAUGGUGACACCGUUCGGCGAAAAGUGUCGCAACUAUAUACUCAAGACAUAUGGCGAUUGUUAUCUGAACUUGAACUACAAUCUGUUGUCGAUAACUCGCUUUCCCAACUGGCUCUGGACCAGCGUGAUCAAUGGCGAUAGCUACACUUUGCUGGUGGACACCUCGCGUCCCGAAUGUCGGCACCUUAGCUAUCAGACGAAUGAGCCCAACUAUUUUUCCAUCUAUUAUAUACUGAAGCUAUGUUUGUUGCUGGGUAUCACCGCUUCGCUGAUCUAUGUCAUCAUUAAAGUCGCUGUUCGACUUUCGUUUAAGCGUUAAAUAAGGUUUAUCUGUUCUGCAAAAAAUUUUAUGAAAUUUAUUUAGUUUAAAGAGUUUUUGUGUUAAGCAUUAACUUCGAAUUCAGUCAAUUAAUGGUUUUCUUUAGGUUUGGUUCUUAAGCGUUUAACAUAUUCGAUUGAUUUCAAAAUACUUGCGAGCAGUAUAAGAGUCGAGGAUAUUUCAAGCAAACACAAAUACGGGGAACAUUCCUUGGCGCAGCCAACUUCACUCUGAUCUAAGACACUGCAAACCAAUUCGCCGCGUUGAAGUCUUGGCUGCCAUAAAGUUCGUUAAGCGUAGACCAGAACCUUAGCGUGUGCAAGAACCGCAACGAGGCUAAUAAUGGGAUGACUAAAAUCCCGAAUUUCUGCACACCUUUUUAACGUUUGUUGGACAUUUUUCAUUUUCAAAAUACAAUGGCGGGAAAUUAAUCGAAUAUUUAUAAACGGCGGAAAAAUUCAAAUGUUGCCUCUGCUAAAAUAGUUUGUUAGAGCGUUUUAUAAUUAAUAGUUUAUUAAAAAAAAUAAAAUGAAGAUAUGCA